rnacentral:rRNA from 1 species
CCUACGGGCGGCAGCAGUGGGGAAUAUUGGGCAAUGGACGCAAGUCUGACCCAGCCACGCCGCGUGAAGGAAGAAGGCGCUCGGGUUGUAAACUUCUUUUAGUGGGGAAGAGCAGAAGACGGUACCACUUGAAUAAGCCACGGCUAACUACGUGCCAGCAGCCGCGGUAAUACGUAGGGGGCAAGCGUUGUCCGGAGUUACUGGGUGUAACGGGCGUUCAGCCGGGGCGACAAGUACGAUGGGAAAUCCACGGGCUCAACCCGUGAACUGCAUUUGAAACUGUUUCCCUUGAGUGUUGGAGAGGUAAGCGGAAUUCCUUGUGUAGCGGUGAAAUGCGUAGAUAUAAGGAAGAACACCAGUGGCGAAGGCGGAUUACUGGACGAUAACUGACGGUGAGGCGCGAAAGCGUGGGGAGCAAACAGGAUUAGAUACCCGGGUAGUC